rnacentral:rRNA from 1 species
UUGAACUGAAGAGUUUGAUCCUGGCUCAGAUUGAACGCUGGCGGCAUGCCUUACACAUGCAAGUCGAACGGCAGCACGGGUGCUUGCACCUGGUGGCGAGUGGCGAACGGGUGAGUAAUACAUCGGAACAUGUCCUGUAGUGGGGGAUAGCCCGGCGAAAGCCGGAUUAAUACCGCAUACGAUCUACGGAUGAAAGCGGGGGACCUUCGGGCCUCGCGCUAUAGGGUUGGCCGAUGGCUGAUUAGCUAGUUGGUGGGGUAAAGGCCUACCAAGGCGACGAUCAGUAGCUGGUCUGAGAGGACGACCAGCCACACUGGGAC